rnacentral:lncRNA from 1 species
UCACCUUCACUCUCAUACAAGGGUUUCCAGUCCCUACCUUCAUAGGAGGAUUAGAAGGCCUUGGUGAGAGUGGAUGCAAGUUGCUUUGCCUUAGCUCACUAUAAUGUGCCAUUGAUUGCACUAUUAAGUUUUUUUUUUGUGUGAUAAAUUAUUGAUGCCACUGUAAGUAAUUGAGGUGUCAUCACCUUUUCUAUCUAUCCGGAUAGGAACAAAGGAAAGAGAGAUCUUCAUGGCAACUCACCUUCACUCUCCCUCUAAGGGCUUCCAGUCCUUGCCUCCAAAGAAGGAUUAGAAGCCCCUGGUGAAAGUGGAUGCUAGUUGCUUUGCCUGAGCUCACUUUACCAGAGAAAUUUAC